UCAUCGGUAGAUCAGGCAUGCAAAUCUGGUCACCACGACCACAAGAACACCCUAGGCAAUCUAUCAUCGAUUCAUAGAUUGAAAAACAAGCAAACCUAAUAAAGCAUAAAACCAUCAAAGAAGAUACUUAGAUUGCUAAGAACAUAAUCACAUAUAUUACUUCACCACGAAUAAUUGUACAUCACAAAAUCACCACCAGAAUCCUACCUUGAUCUUGAUGACUUCUAGCUCCAGAACUUCA
rnacentral:lncRNA from 1 species